AUAAACUGGCCAUGUUUUCUUCGUAUAACCCCAAUAAUAUGGUUUGGGGGUUUCUACCAGUCCCCGGAAAGUGCUGAUUAUGAAGAGUAUAGAUUACAGU
rnacentral:ncRNA from 2 species